UGGGGAAUAUUGGACAAUGGGGGCAACCCUGAUCCAGCCAUGCCGCGUGUGUGAAGAAGGCCUUUUGGUUGUAAAGCACUUUAAGCGAGGAGGAGGCUACCUGUAUUAAUACUAUAGGCUAGUGGACGUUACUCGCAGAAUAAGCACCGGCUAACUCUGUGCCAGCAGCCGCGGUAAUACAGAGGGUGCGAGCGUUAAUCGGAAUUACUGGGCGUAAAGCGCGCGUAGGCGGUUUGUUAAGUCGGAUGUGAAAUCCCCGGGCUCAACCUGGGAAUUGCAUUCGAUACUGGCAAGCUAGAGUAUGGGAGAGGAAGGUAGAAUUCCAGGUGUAGCGGUGAAAUGCGUAGAGAUCUGGAGGAAUACCGAUGGCGAAGGCAGCCUUCUG
rnacentral:rRNA from 1 species